rnacentral:rRNA from 1 species
GUGCACGCUGGCGGUAGGCCUAACCCCUGCCAGUCGCACGGCAGCACAGUAAGAGCUUGCUCUUACGGGUGGCGAGUGGCGGACGGGUGAGGAAUACAUCGGAAUCUACUUUUUCGUGGGGGAUAACGUAGGGAAACUUACGCUAAUACCGCCUACGACCUACGGGUGAAAGCAGGGGAUCUUCGGACCUUGCGCGAUUGAAUGAGCCGAUGUCGGAUUAGCUAGUUGGCGGGGUAAAGGCCCACCAAGGCGACGAUCCGUAGCUGGUCUGAGAGGAUGAUCAGCCACACUGGAACUGAGACACGGUCCAGACUCCUACGGGAGGCAGCAGUGGGGAAUAUUGGACAAUGGGCGCAAGCCUGAUCCAGCCAUACCGCGUGGGUGAAGAAGGCCUUCGGGUUGUAAAGCCCUUUUGUUGGGAAAGAAAAGCAGCAGGUUAAUACCCCGCUGUUCUGACGGUACCCAAAGAAUAAGCACCGGCUAACUUCGUG